UACAGAGGUCUCAAGCGUUGUUCGGAUUCACUGGGCGUAAAGGGCGCGUAGGCGGCCAUUCAAGUCGGAGGUGAAAGCCCAGGGCUCAACCCUGGAAUUGCCUUCGAUACUGUUUGGCUAGAGACCGGAAGAGGUAAGUGGAACUGCGAGUGUAGAGGUGAAAUUCGUAGAUAUUCGCAAGAACACCAGUGGCGAAGGCGGCUUACUGGUCCGGUUCUGACGCUGAGGCGCGAAAAGCGUGGGGAUCAAACA
rnacentral:rRNA from 1 species